rnacentral:misc_RNA from 1 species
UUAUUAUUAUUAUUAUUAUUAUCUGCCUCUUUUGUUUGAUGCCUGUAGUUUUAUGUAUGAAAUUGUAUGCGAUUUUGGAGUCUCUUGGCCUCUGACUAGUGAAACUCGAGGUUGAUUUCUGUCUCUUUGUUGCUAAGUGCUUGCCAUUUGAUGGAAGAGGCCUUUUCUGUUGUAUUUUAAUGAGCUGAACAUUUUGAUUGAUAGAAAAAAAAAAUGAAGUGAGAGAGGGCUUGAAUGGAAACUCGACAAAAGCAGGAGGACUUCUUGUGCACUUUUUCCUUCAUAUUCAUGCCUAAUAGGUGUAGGAUUUCUUUUUCCUCAGUGACAUGUAGAUACAGAUGCAUCAAUCACACAUACGAGAUAUCUGUUUGUCCUAUAUUUUACUUUAAAAUGGGAAGAAUAAAUAUAAUAGAAACCUAGGAUUGGUGUGUUUGAAGAUGAAUUGAAGUCCUUUGGAUGGUGCCAGCAUUGGAUCAUAUAAGAACUCCUCAUUAGGUAUCUGUAAAUCCCAUUUGAAUUUUCUCACAAUAUUAUGCAAGAAAACAAGUAUCUCUAUACAAGCAAAUUCAUGCCCCAAGCACAUCCUUGAUGCCCCUUCAAAGGGAAUGUAUGAAUAUUGAGCAGGUCCUCCUGCAAACUUGAAGCAUCAAGGUCUUCUGGAUUUGGACAAACAGCUGGAUCUUUUUAUGUUGAGCCAGUGCUCAUAUACAAAUAGCAUAACUAAGGAAGCAACUUUGUAUUAAUGAGAGAUAUUUUCCCUGCUAUGGUAUAGUCCAUGAUGCAUAUAUUUCAUUCAAGAUUAGUUUUUUCCAAAAAUGAAGAUUCCUUAUGUACUUGAAAUUAGAAGGUUAUGGCUACUCAAGAGUUAAAAAUAGAAAUAAACCUACAAAUUCCAAACAGUUCAUAAUAAUAUUUACUAUAAAAAAUAUGUAAUAGUAUAAAACUUAAAGUAAAAGGGGAG